rnacentral:lncRNA from 1 species
ACUUUUAUGAAUGGAUGAAAAUUGGUUCACUACUUGUCUCAUUGAUGAAUUCUUUAUUUGUUUUCUAUGAAUGCAUACGUAGUAAGUAUAUAGAGGAUUCUAAUGCUAUGAAUAUGUGUGUGCCUGCCCUUGUCGAAUGAGGACCUAGAUAUAUUCUAGAGUAGUACUUGUUAAUUGCGAUUAACAUGUGAAUCAAUUUCUAGGAUAAGUAAGACAACGCCAGUACUUACGAUGCCUUGUGAUGACUCAAACUCUUUUCAUUCUUAAUGAUUUCUACUUGUUAAAUCUAUGAACACGCCAUUCUAGAUUGCAUGCUAGGGACUAAGUUAAGUUGAAAACGCCAUUCUUCUUAACAUACUACGUAAGAAAAGAGUAAUAGGUUGAGUUCUAACAUUGAGCCAACUUGAGCAUCUUCAUCCGGAAAUAAAAGGAAUUUGAAUGAAACAUAACAUGUUUGCAUGAUUAUUUGGUGGUGGAUAGCAAUACCCCUAACUCGUUUUUCUUAAUUUAUGAAUUACUUAAUAUCUGUUUCUGUCCUGUUUUUGUUUGAUUUAAUUUAAAUAGCAAAUCAACUCCAAAAAUCCCAAAAAUUUGUAGAAGUGUAGCUCUGUGUGUCUAGUGUUUGCUUAUAAAAUUUCGUAGACUUUAGAUUAGUGUAAGUCAGUCUAAUAAUUAUUUUUCGGUGGCUGGUCAGUAGGGACAACAACCAGUUUUUGUGACAUUUUAAGUAGUUAGAUAAAACAAUCUUAUGUGGGAAAGACCCUUAUUUUCAUAUGCUACAAUUGACAAAUCUUAGCUUUAAUAAGGAAAAUCAAUAGGAUAUUUGUGUGCUACUUUGUGGUGUGCUUUUAAUCCUAUCAAAUUUUUGGCGCCGUGUCGCCGGGGAUUGUUAUUUCUAAUUACUUAUUUCUCUAUUGUUUUCUUUUCUUGUCUAAUUAGUGUUUUUGUUUUUGUUUUUAUGUCAGGUACUCUUCGUAGUAUAUGCAUACUCGAAGGUCCAAGAACCAGCCCCCCUUGGAUGAUUACUCUCGGAAAGUUUGAUCAUGUCCACCCUUGAAGUUGAUUGUAAAAUUGGAGUUUGGGGGUCAUCGCUUGAUUUAAAUACAAAUUGGGGAAGUUUUCAAUCAAAAUGCUUUAUUUUGUUUCUUACUAUUUUAUUUUAUUUUUAUUUUUAUUUUAUGCAUUAUUGUGUUUUCUGACAUUGGGGACAAUGUCCAGUUUAGGUUUGGGGGUAAGGAUUGAAAAACUGACGAAAUUGAAAAUUUUCAUACCUUCGACUAAGAACUGGUUUGAUUUGUUUCCGUGUUGUU